rnacentral:sRNA from 1 species
GGACUGCUGCAGAAAUUUAUUGAUCGCCCUAGGCACCGAAACAUGUCGAUCAAUAAAUUUCUGCAGCAGUC